rnacentral:rRNA from 1 species
AGCGAACGCUGGCGGCAGGCCUAACACAUGCAAGUCGAACGGAUCCUUCGGGAUUAGUGGCGGACGGGUGAGUAACACGUGGGAACGUGCCCUUUGGUUCGGAACAACUCAGGGAAACUUGAGCUAAUACCGGAUGUGCCCUUCGGGGGAAAGAUUUAUCGCCAUUGGAGCGGCCCGCGUCUGAUUAGCUAGUUGGUGAGGUAAAGGCUCACCAAGGCGACGAUCAGUAGCUGGUCUGAGAGGAUGAUCAGCCACAUUGGGACUGAGACACGGCCCAAACUCCUACGGGAGGCAGCAGUGGGGAAUCUUGCGCAAUGGGCGAAAGCCUGACGCAGCCAUGCCGCGUGAAUGAUGAAGGUCUUAGGAUCGUAAAAUUCUUUCACCGGGGACGAUAAUGACGGUACCCGGAGAAGAAGCCCCGGCUAACUUCGUGCCAGCCGCCGCCGUAAGAC